rnacentral:rRNA from 1 species
UACAGAGGAUGCAAGCGUUAUCCGGAAUGAUUGGGCGUAAAGCGUCUGUAGGUGGCUUUUUAAGUCCGCCGUCAAAUCCCAGGGCUCAACUCUGGACAGGCGGUGGAAACUACCAAGCUGGAGUACGGUAGUGGCAGAGGGAAUUUCCGGUGGAGCGGUGAAAUGCGUAGAGAUGUGGAGGAACACCGAUGGCGAAGGCAGCCUCCUGGGCCAACACUGACGCUCAUGCACGAAAGCGUGGGGAGCAAACAGG